ACAAUGAAGUUUGUGGCUGGUGCAUUUGUGCACAGAUCUGGAAGACUAUAGAUUUAGAAGUUGUUCUUCUGAUGAAGACUGAACAUGGCACAUAACAGAGACACAGGGUAAAAAGGCUUUUAUUGGAAACAGCACAAAUCUUAGGAAUGAGACACCCUCAGCAAGCGUACCUCAGUGUAACAGAUGUCAGUGCGCCAACCCUGUCCUGUGGACGAUAACAAGGUGCAGACAUCCCUCUGUAUCACAAAUGAAGAAGACAUACAGCAGAAGCUGGACGGAGCU